CCCUCGAGAUGCGUAAUCGAAAGGGCCUCCUAGAUCAAAGAUCCCAAGGAACGAACUGGCGGAUCGAGGAGCUCAUCAGACGAGGUCAGCUCAACAGAUUCAUCCGAUGCCGACCUGAAGGUAGGGAGGAUUGGCCGAGGGCCCUACCACGGCCAGAGCCGCCAAGGAGGGAGGAACAGCCUAAAGAUCGGCCUCCAAUCGAAAUUGUCGACACCAUCUCUAGGGGACCCCG
rnacentral:lncRNA from 1 species